rnacentral:lncRNA from 1 species
AAAGCCGCUCCCAACGGUAGUUGAAUUCCAACGACAGAGUGGUGAGAUAGUUGAGGUUCAAGUGGAUUAUCAUGGUUGCCUCCCACGUGCUUUCAUUGUCAUGAGCUUGGUCAUGUUGUCAGAAAUUGCUUGCUCUUUACACCGCCUAAGGAUCCUCCACUUAAGGAUCUUCCUCCUAUGGCAAGAGCUCCUGGAGAAAAAGCGAAGCAAAAAGUUUCAGAAAACUUGAAAAAAACUCCAGCUACUGCUGCAAAGAGUAAGCAGUAUGUUGUUAAGAAGUCCUUUACACCCAUCAUCACUCAGUCCCCACCAUCUACCCAUUCUGUCUCUCUUCCCACUACCCCUUCAGCAGUUACGUCUCCCUCUUUUGUCCCCACUCCAAUUCAUAAAAUUCCUUCAUCCACUACUGAAACUCCCUCUGACAAGCCAAAAAAGCCCUCACUUAAAAGAACCCGCUCCUCCCCUACGUUCUCCCCCCUGCUCCUCUAAAAGUCACCUAUCAAUCUUUGAAACCAUCCCCUGCCCCACUUUUCCCUGAGAUUGGCACCUUAAACUAUCUUGUUAAUUCCCCUUUCCUUGAUCCCUCUACAAAGAACCUUUUUUUUGCUGCUACUAAAUGAUACUAACCUCUCCAGUCUAUUGGAGAUCCCUUUUUUUCUUCCUAUGAGUGUAAAACUCUUUUUUGGAACCUCUGUGGUUUAAAUGACCCGGCUAAACAUCGGACUUUUUCGGAUUGGCUUUUUAGUUAUAAACCUAUUUUUGGUGCUCUUUUGGAAACACAUAUAAAGGAAGUAUCUCUACCCCUCUUGAUGUCUACUCUAUUUAAAGACUGGCACUAUAUAUCAAAUUACCUAUCUGAUGAGGACGGGAGAAUCGUGCUCAUUUGGACGGACCCUGCAAAAGUUCGAGUCAUCUCACAGUCAAGGCAAAUGAUUACUUGUGAACUAGAGCUUCCUAAUUGCACCCCUAUCAUCUACUCUGCCAUCUAUGCGUCAAAUCUUAGCGAAGAGAGAACUGACCUUUGGGUUGAGCUAUUGAAUGUGCACUCAGCUCAUGCCCUAGACGCAAGGCCAUGGAUGAUAGGAGGCGACUUUAAUCAAAUUCUCCACUGCCAUGAGCAUUCUUCCUUCUCUCACAAUAGACAUGCUCCUCAAAUUUUCCAAUUCCGUGACAGUCUGCUCCAGAUGGGGGUUUUUGAUCUUCGAUUCUAUGGACCUGUUCACACAUGGACAAACAAUCGUAAUGCUACUCCUAUUGCAAAGAAACUUGAUAGAUGCCUAAUCAACAGUGACUAUCUUACCAGUUUCCCUAAUGCCACUGCCACCUUUCUUCCACUGUCCCCCUCUAAUCACACCCUCUGCCUUAUUAACCUUGCUUUCCAACUCCCUAAAGCUGGAACCCAACCCUUUCGGUUCUUAAACUACUUAACCAAACACCCGAGCUUCUUGGAGGUUGUUACUGAUGCGUGGUUGCUCGCCGGAAGUGUGUCUGCCAACCUUGCAACUCUGUGUUGGAAGCUGAAAAGCAUAAAAAGGAGUCUCAAAACUCUUAAUAAAGAAAAUUUCUUAAAUAUCCAACAAAGAGUUAAUGAAUAUUACCGUUUGUUACAACAUGCGCAGGUACAUGCCUUAACAGACCCAACUCCACAAACUUUUGCUGAAGAACACGAACUGAACCUGAAAUGGCAAUUCUUGAGACAGAUUGAGGAAUGCUUCUUUCAACAAAAGUCUAGGAUAACUUGGCUCAGAGAAGGAGAUCUCAACACUACAUAUUUCCACCGUGUUUGCCAGAUGAGAGCAAGCUUUAAUGCCAUUCGCUCGUUCCUCCUACUGUCAGGUGUUACCAUUACCGAUCCAUUGGAGAUGAGCGCUCACGCCAUCUCACAUUUUAAGGCUGUCCUCGGCCCAGACCUCCUCUCCGUGAUAUGGUACUCCUCGUCUAACUGGUUUCAAAGUCUUACACCCUUCACCUGCAGCCAACAGAAGACGAACUCCAUACUCCUGAUGCCUACAAAUGCAGAAAUCACUAAGCUCAUAUUUUCUCUCAACCCAAAUAAAGCGCCAGGGCCUGAUGGACUAACCUAUGGUUUCUUAAAAGCUUCUUGGACACUGCUAGGCACAUAAUGUAUCAACUCAAUACAAGAUUUCUUCAACUCAGGUUUCCUGCCAAAAACCACAAACUCAACAAUAAUGUCUUUGGUUCCUAAAUUCAUAGGUGCAUCUAGAAUAUCAGACUAUCGACCCAUCUCCUGUUUGAAUACGCUUUAUAAAUUUAUAUCACGGCUACUGGUGAGACGUCUUAAGCCUAUUCUACACCAACUAAUCUUGCCAAACCAAACAGCCUUUGUGGAGGGAAGGUUGCUAAUAGAAAAUACAGUAUUGGCGAGCGAACUGGUGAAUGGCUAUCAUAAAAAUAAAGGGUCUAAGAAGAUUACCAUCAAGGUCGAUAUAGCCAAAGCCUUUGACACCUUCUCUUGUGAUUUCAUUUUUGCAGCAUUGGAGAGCCUGCUCCUCCUUGCUCCCUUCAUUCGGCUGCUGAAAGCUUGCAUCUGCACAACAUCAUUUAUGGUGGGGUAUAAUGGCACGGUGAGUUGUUUCUUCAAAGGUAAGAGAGGACUAAGGCAAGCAGACCCACUAUCUCCUUACCUUUUUGUCAUUGCUAUGAACUACCUGUCACUGAUGUUGGAUAAAGAAGCAAGGUCUGGAUAUUUAUCUUACCAUCACCAGUGCCAUAAGACGAAGUUGACACAUCUCUCAUUUGCAGAUGAUCUAUUGAUCUUCAUUGAUGGGUCUCGAGAGUCUGUUCAGAGGGUUCUCCAGAUACUGCAAGAGUUUGAAAAAAGAUCAGGACUAGCGCUGAGCUUACAAAAAUCUAGCUUCUUUGCAUAUGGACUAACAUGAGAAGAAAUUUCUGCAAUACAAGCAUCAACUAGUAUGCCAUGUGGUAGUUUACCUAUGAGAUAUCUCGGGGUCCCAUUAUGUACAAAGACGUUAAACUUGGAGAACUGUGAGCCCCUCCUACAGCAGAUCAAGCAACGUCUCUAAACUUGGUCAGCUAAAGCUCUCUCGUUUGCUGGACGAUUGCUCCUGAUCAAGACGGUGAUAGCUGGAGUCUCUACCUUCUGGUGCUCGAGUUUUAUCCUGCCAAAAUCAUACAUCAAUAGAAUCAAUUCUCUCUGUAGUCUAUUCAUGUGGAAAGGAAGCAGUGAAAAGGCCACAACACAGCACGAGUGAGUUGGGAGACAGUAACACUUACCAAAGAUUAGGGGGGAUUGGUGUCAAAGACCUUCAUAGCUGGAACCUCGCUUGUAUAUUGAAGCUUAUCUGGAUGAUUUUCUUUCGCCCGAACUCUGUGUGGGUCUGUUGGUUCAAGGAGGUAAUUCUAAGAGGAGACAUUUCUAACUACUGGACAAUUAACACAAGCAGUAACUACUCAUGGUUGGUUAACAAGAUGAUUAAGGCUCGUGAUCUCAUUUACCCACUACUGAAACGUCAGAUAGGAAUUAGGGUUUUGUUUACUGAAGCGGCAGUCAGCGUAUCCACAUCUAAGGUGAGCGAAGGUAUAUUGCACCAUACAUGCCUCCAUCGUCUAGACAAGAGGAAAGUACUGGUGGCUAUUUUGAUCGGAAUAUAGCAGAUUAUGUGUUGAAGGAUCACAUCUGGUAAAUUGUUGAUCAUGUCUACUGCUGCUUUGAUUUUCUUGUCGUCGUCCAUCUUCACUUACAACAUAGAUUUGUAGGGCAUAGCUUCUAUUGUAACGAUCCGGUUACAUGAACCGAUAUUAUUUGUUUAAUUUGAAUUAUAAUUAAACAUUAAAAAAGGAAUGCAAAAAAUAAAUAUUAAAAAAAUAAACAAUCCAUGCGUAGCCAGAGACAGUCCAAGUUUGUUUUCAUUAUUUAGACGAACAAGACGUUUGCGAUUGAGAGGACCAAUCAAUCCAGUUUCUUAUGCUCUCUUUCUUUUUUAUUCCUUAAUUUCCAGCUAAGUUAAUAAGUGGGUUAUUGUAUCCUUAUAGAGAAGGGAUCAAUUCCACCAGUUUAUCUAUUUCCAUGUUCAAAAAGUUUAGAUUCUAUGGUUUCUAUAUUUUGAUUUUAAAAAAUAAAUGGAAAACAAGCUAAAAAGAGGUAAUUUUAAUUUGCCCAAAAAAAUUCACGUUGUUUUAACUCUGUCUUGAAUAAUUAGCAAAACAUAUAUGAAAAUGUAUUGAAUACAUGACUAACGCGUGGAUUCCAUAAAUUUUUCAGCUUUAAAAAUGGUUACUCAAACCCUUUAUCCGUCAUGUAAUAAUAUAAUUAUGUUUACAUUAUCCACAGGCAAACCCCAUUGGUAUAACCUAUAUCUAUAUAUUUAAAAUACACAAACAUAUACAUUCAGUAUUUCUAUUUUCAUUAUCAAAGUUUAACAAAAUUCCCCUCAUUCUAUCUCACAAAAACCAAAACAGAACUUACGUAUAUAAAAACAACAUUACAUGAAACAUAAAGUGUGUGUGUUCUCGGUAUAACUAAAGCAUACACUUCGUCUGCAAAAACAAACAAAAUAUAUUUCCAAACGAAACAUCUAUUAUACUAAGAAAAACCUCAUUAUGAGAAUCAUGCAAAUACAAAAAAAUAACAAAUAUUAUUCAGCUCUCAUACAAAUACACACUACACAUUAUUAUACAUGGUUUUUGAAAUAAGUAACAACUCAACGUAAACAAAACAACAAACUUAUCACAAACCAUUGACUCAAAAUGUUAACGCCCCUGAAUAAAUGGACCUUUGAACUAAAUGGUUAAAGAAAUAAAGAAUUUUUUUUUAACUCACCUUCUAUAAGACAUAGCUACAACAACUUAUCCUUACACAAAAUACUACACAAUGAAUAAGGAGCCACUUCUCUCUUAUCAGUUCUCACACCAAACAAAAUCUACAGAAGAAAAUCCAUGACAAACACUAUAAGUCUACAUCCACAGGCCCAACACACAAUAACUCUAUCAUUGAUUUUCAGUUAUCGUCUAUCAUUGACAAUUAAGAUAAUUUAAAAUACUCAACAACUGGGUACAUGGAAUUCAUGCUAACAUACCAUCACAUUCACAACCCAGACUCAACCUUACUUAUUUAAGAGACUACUGAAUACGUGAUGAAUAAGCUACCAAACGGCUACAAUACCAUAAGUAAUGAUCUCCAAGUUACUCUUACCAUCAGGGACUACAACCAAAACGCAACUGCAAGACUUGACGUCGAUCUUAUCAUCACAGAUCUAGAGGAAACAAAUAGGCCUCCAACUACAAAAGAAAAAAACGAUAUAUGCACUAUAUGCUUCGAAAAUUACAACUACGGAAACAAACUAUAUGCUUUCUUACUAUCUAUCUACAUUACUUAAACCAUAAAACCAUUAGCAAGACCAUAGAUCCAUAUAUUGCUUCAUCAUCUAACAUAUAACUAAAACUUUCAAAAUACUACCUAUCAAUAAAAAUAUGGUACAUCAAAAAAGUUCAAAUUACAACAAAAAACAGCCGCCCCGCGCGUAGCGCAGACAGACCACUAGUAGUCUAGUAAAGCAAGGAGAAUUAAUUUGUUAGACUGAUAUGGAUUCUAAGGCUGCCACUUCAGCAUGCUUGUAAUUAAGUUACACAUUAAAGAUUACUCCUUUAAAUAUUUCUCUGUUAGCAAUAAGGGGAUUAUAUACACCAUUAUAAUUAUUUACCAUCUUACCAUGUAUACAAAACGAUUUAUUAUACAUUACAUUAAAAUUUUAAUCCAAAAAACAAAAAAACUAUGUAUUGAUGCACAUGUCAUAUUCUAAAAAUGGCGAUGAUACAAUUGACGAUGUACAUGAUAAAAUAAAAUUAAUCAUAUAAACUAUAAAAUUAUUAUGUUUAUAAAUUUCAUAUUAAAUAAAUAUUUACACGGGAAAAACUGUAGAAUAUAUAUUAUCACUUAGACAAAAUAAAUAUUUAUUUCUGAAAACAAUAAAAAAUGCAUACAGGCGUUGUUUAAAUAUACACAAACUUAAACCGAUUUAUAAUUUCUUAUAAGUUUCAUCAAAUUUAUAUUUUCAUUUUAUUUUCUUACAAAUUUAAGUCUUAAUUUUAUAUGUUCCAAAUUUGAUAGAAGUUUAACAACUAUUUUCUUACAAAUGUUAUAUUUUUUUUUUGUUGAAAUUUUUAAAUUGAUUAUCAACAAAAGAAAAAAAUUACAGGCCACUCAGGUUUAUGCUUUCAGAGAAACAAACACAAAUUUUCCAGAAAAAAAUUAAGUUACGAUUGCUGAGAAGAGGUCCGAGCUAGCCAUCUCUGCAUCAUGUCGCUGUAGAAGCUUGGCUUCCGCUUUCGUAGGGAGGAGAUCCUGUUCCUAAUGGUCUUGUCGAUAUAUCGGACCAUUUGGGCUGCGCUAAGGGGAUUUCCCUGGUGGCGUCUGGUGUUCCUCUCGCGCCAGAGACUAUAGAUACUAUCUUGGAGAGCAAGCUUCAGGAGACAUGUAUCAAUCUCCCUCCGGCGAGGGGACAUGAUCGAUGCGACGGUGAUAGCCCAGUCGGGGUUCACACGAGAGCCCAAUAGGAAACCUACUAGCUCGAUCCAUACCGUAAAGGAGUAAGGGCAGGCGAAGAACAAGUGGUCGCGAGUCUCGUCCGGUUCCCCGCAGAGGAGGCACGGUUGCUCACAACCCCAAGCUCGACUCCUAGCUCCUGUAGAUAGUCUGUCCUGAAAAGCUAACCACGUGAUGAAAGCAAACCGAGGAAUGCUUUGUUGAAACCAGACAGCUUUGCACCAAGAGAGUUCUGGGUGGUGGACCCGUAGUUGCUCCCAUGUUGCUUUGCUAGAGAAGACCGGUUUGUACUCCUCAUCUCCGUGGCGCCAUAGACGACGAUCGGCAGCCGCGUCCUCCGCCGGAGCUGGAACAGAGUUGAUGCAGGCUAUCAUCGCCCGUAGGUAAUAGCCACGACACCGACGAAUGUUCCAUUGUCCCCCAGAGGCCGCUUUUGAGACCGUCGCAUAGCGAGGGAUGCCUAAAACUUGUGUUCCUAUAUCUCCUGUAAUAUUGAGAAGCUUCCCAACUCUAAGCCAAUUAUCAAACCAGAAUAAGGUGGCCUUACCAUUACCUAUCUCAGACCGUAAAAAUGAAGCAGCGUGGUCCCUAAGCUUCAACAGCUUGCGCCAUAUCCAAGAGCCUGCAAAAGCUGUGAGAAUGCAACAAGUAAGCCUUCACCCAGGCUACCCACAGAGAACCAGAAUUAGUGAGCAAUCGCCAUAUCAAGCUAAGCGCAAAGACUCGUAAAGUGUCUGUGAGGCGUCGUAUGCCCAAACCUCCCUCAGUCUUCGGUCUGCAAACAUCAUCCCAAGAAACCUUUGCCUUCGUAUGCGUAUUUGGCGACCCAGACCAUAAGAAUGCAGCACACAUCCCUUCAAUGGUACUCAGACAUCUCUUGGGAAGACGAAAGACAGAGCACCAGAAGUUUGUAAUACUGCCAAUGACUGUUAUAACAAGCUGGAGACGACCUGCAUAGGAUAGAGAACGACUAGACCAUGACACAAGACGCGUGCGGAUCUGAUCAAUCAAUGGUUCAUAAUCUGUUCUGGUCAUUGUUUUUGUGGUAAGAGGAAGACUGAGAUAUCUCACAGGUAGGGACUCUAUUGGUAUGCCUAGCCGUAGGACCUCAUCCUUAAAUUCCUGAGUAAUACGGCCGGCCAUGAAGAUAGAAGAUUUUGCUGGGUUUAUCACCAAGCCGGAGACGCUUGCGAAAUCUGAGAGGACCUCAAACACA